CUCUCUCUUCAGUGUGUGUGUGUGAUGAGCUCUCUCUCUUCAGUGUGUGUGUGUAUGAGCUCAGUGUGUCACUGUUCUGGUGUUUUGUCUCAGGUAUUCACUAAAGGUCUUCACGAUGGAGACGCUGGAGACAGAGAAGAAGGAGCGGUUCAUUCAGAUCAGUAAGGUGGAUGAAGAGGAGAGGAGGAGGAGGGAGCAGCAGAAGCAGCAGAGGGAGCAGGAGGAGCUGAAUGAUGCUGUGGGGCUUCUCCAGGCGUUAUCAGAGC